CUCUAUUCCCCAGCCUCCCUGCAGCUAGUGGUAGCGGAGUGACACAGCUCUACCCAUGGGACGGAGGGAAAAUUGCCUGGAUGUUCUGGUUACUACCCAGAUCCAGACAACUAACUGCCUCUUCCUUCCUGUUCUCUCCUUCUCUUUGUUUUCUCCUUCUCCUCCUUCUUCUUCCCCUGCCCCUGCUCUCCUUUUUCUUUCCAUUUGGAAUGUGGAUAGGAGGAGGAGGACAUGGCCACCCUCUGGGACACUGACAGCUUCGUGAAAUGAAAGCCUUAUGGUUAGGACGACGGAGCAGAGAGGAGGAGGAGCCGGGAAGACGGAGCAGCUGCGCACAUUCUGACGAGGUUCUGACUUCCCGUUUCGUGAGAACAGUCAGAAAGUGAACCACAACAUGUACAGUUGCCUCCCAUGGGAGAAAUAGAGCAAGGCUGGGCGACCUUCUCGCUGGCUCUCCCUCACCCCUUUGCCCUACAGCUCUCACGGUUUCUGCUCCCCUGUCCCACUUUCUGAAGAAGUAAGUGGGUUGGCUUUUCAGAAGCUCUGAGGCAGUCAAGUUGAUCUGCAGAAUCUGUUCCAUUAGGUCAACCUGAAACUAUAAGAAGCAGACGGAUGAUUUGGAAGCAAGUAUCAUUUCAGUUCCGGAGCAUAUUGACAUCUGUUACAACAUAUUAUUAAACAUCAAACUCCACAUGGCACUUGAAGGAAUGCAAGGAAAGGAAAAUACUCCAAAAUGCAAACCUCUCAGAUUUUGUCACAAAUGGAUAAUAUUUAAAAUAAACGAGCUGAUGUCAUAUUGAUCUAUAAAGAAAGUAAACAUAUCAAAAUG